GAAUAGUUAACUAGAUCGACAUGUGAAAUAUCAUACUUUAAACUAUUGAGCUCAAUUAAAAGCGCAACGACAUCGAUAUUUUUUGUGCGUUUAUUUUUUUGUUUAAGACUUUUUUUAGUUAUAUAGUUUGUUGGCUUUGCCAAACAGAACCAUGGUAUAUAGUACUCAAAUAAAACAAAGAAUUUGGCACAUUUGACUUUGAUUGGUUCGUCAAUCUUAAUUGUAUUAACAGUGAAUAGGGCACCAUUUUAUUCUUUGGAACACAUAAAUAACGGACUAAGGUUUGGUAACAAACUUAGAUUCGAGUCCCUACCACUCACCGAUAUUAAAAGAUUCUGCCCGCCAUUAGUGGUGCUUCAUUAAUUUCAAUUAUUACUCAGAAAAUAUGUCAAAUUAUGUGUCUUCUGUCACUUUUUUGUGUUAUUAUUUUGGAUAUGUUUGGCAAGACGAGUUUAUAGUAUGUGGCUUAUAACUUAUCAAGAUCAUAUGCUUUUAUUUUUAAGAAACUUAUAAGCUCAUGUGAUUAGGCAUGGCAAUGGGGUGGAGUGGGGGUGGGGACGGGUUUUACAUUCUUCGUCCCUGUAUCUGAUUCUCAUAUAAUUACUUGUUCCCUUAUACAUAUUCAACGGGGAUGAGAAAUUGAACCUCGUUGAUAAAAAAUAUAUGGUUUUUUACAACCCUUAGAGAAAUGUUGUAAUGCAUUAUCCAGCAAUAUGUUCACUUUAACAUUUGUUAGAUCGAUUGAUUUAGUUGCUCCUUUAAAUUUCAAUGGUAAUUUUUAUAGCACGACAACUAUCAAACAAAAUAACAUGGCAUAUCAACAUAAAGUAACUUUCUGCAUUUGAGACGGGUUUUGGUGUGAGUUCGGAUG
rnacentral:lncRNA from 1 species